rnacentral:misc_RNA from 1 species
GGUUGAGAUUGGUAUUGGUAUUUCACAUUUGAUGGUUGAUUCACAUGGCAGUGAGCCUGAGCCCUAUAGCUAGUUGUUAACUGAGUGCAGGUUCAUUAAAUUGGAGCUCAUAAUAUGGUAACUUAAAGUUUGCAAUCGAGUAAUAAGCUGCAUGUCUGUGUAUCCCUGCUCAAUGUAUGUUAAAUCACUGCCUGGCAGUCUGUUCUGUGUUUUAGGAUGGUUUUAGCCAUAGGACGCAGUUUCAUGUUUAAAGUUCUCAAACAACUAUUUGCUCUUAAUUGACUGCUCUCUCUGAUAAUUUGAUGUGAUUCUAGUAGGCUGGCUGUACUAGUUUAAGAGAUUUGACUGUCUUCUCUGUUUAUAUUUGACGAGCUGGAAGUGCUUGUUACGUUUGAACAUAAGUUCAGAACUGAACACUUACCAAUUAUCAUGUGCUAGGUUAAAGUUUUCUGCUAUUGGAAUAUGCAAGGAGUAUCAUGAUUGUAGUUCAUAUGACAUUUACAUUUGAAAUUGUGGAGAUUGAUGGGAUGUGAACGCAUCACUGACCCUUGAUAUGGAUAACUGGAUAUUUACUGCCAUACAGAAUUGAGCUUUUAAA